GAUCAUGGCUCAGAUUGAACGCUGGCGGCGUGCUUAACACAUGCAAGUCGCGCGUGAAAGGACUUCGGUCCGAGUAAAGCGGCGCACGGGUGAGUAACGCGUGGAUGAUCUACCCAUGAGUUAGGAAUAACGGCUGGAAACGGUCGCUAAUACCAAAUACGCUCCGAUUUCAACUUCGGGGGAAAGGUGGCCUCUGCUUGCAAGCUACUGCUCAUGGAUGAGUCCGCGUCCCAUUAGCUAGUUGGUGGGGUAACGGCCCACCAAGGCGACGAUGGGUAGCCGGUCUGAGAGGAUGACCGGCCACACUGGGACUGGAACACGGCCCAGACUCCUACGGGAGGCAGCAGUGGGGAAUAUUGCGCAAUGGGCGAAAGCCUGACGCAGCGACGCCGCGUGAGGGAAUGAAGGUCCUCGGAUCGUAAACCUCUGUCAGGAGGGAAGAACCGCCACGGUGCUAAUCAGCCGUGGUCUGACGGUACCUCCAAAGGAAGCACCGGCUAACUCCGUGCCAGCCGCCGC
rnacentral:rRNA from 1 species